rnacentral:rRNA from 1 species
GAUGAACGCUGGCGGCGUGCCUAAUACAUGCAAGUCGAGCGAACGGACGAGAAGCUUGCUUCUCUAAUGUUAGCGGCGGACGGGUGAGUAACACGUGGAUAACCUACCUAUAAGACUGGGAUAACUUCGGGAAACCGUAGCUAAUACCGGAUAAUAUUUUGAACCGCAUGGUUCAAAAGUGAAAGACGGUCUUGCUGUCACUUAUAGAUGGAUCCGCGCUGCAUUAGCUAGUUGGUAAGGUAACGGCUUACCAAGGCAACGAUGCAUAGCCGACCUGAGAGGGUGAUCGGCCACACUGGAACUGAGACACGGUCCAGACUCCUACGGGAGGCAGCAGUAGGGAAUCUUCCGCAAUGGGCGAAAGCCUGACGGAGCAACGCCGCGUGAGUGAUGAAGGUCUUCGGAUCGUAAAACUCUGUUAUUAGGGAAGAACAUAUGUGUAAGUAACUGUGCACAUCUUGACGGUACCUAACCAGAAAGCCACGGCUAACUACGUG